CGUGCCUAAUACAUGCAAGUCGAACGGUCUUUCUAUGGAAGCUUGCUUCCACUGAGAAGAUAGUGGCGAACGGGUGAGUAACACGUGGGUAACCUGCCCAUAAGAGGGGGAUAACAUCCGGAAACGGGUGCUAAUACCGCAUAGUUUUCUUGAUCGCAUGAUCGGGAAAGGAAAGACGGCCUUUGUGCUGUCGCUUAUGGAUGGACCCGCGGCGUAUUAGUUAGUUGGUGAGGUAACGGCUCACCAAGACGAUGAUACGUAGCCGACCUGAGAGGGUGAUCGGCCACAUUGGGACUGAGACACGGCCCAAACUCCUACGGGAGGCAGCAGUAGGGAAUCUUCCGCAAUGGACGAAAGUCUGACGGAGCAACGCCGCGUGAGUGAAGAAGGUUUUCGGGAAUCGUAAAACUCUGUUGUCAGAGAAGAACAAGUUGGAGAGUAACUGCUCCAGCCUUGACGGUAUCUGACCAGAAAGCCACGGCUAACUACGUGCCAGCAGCUGC
rnacentral:rRNA from 1 species